rnacentral:lncRNA from 10 species
GGACAUUACAAAGGAGCUCUGUGUCAGAAGCUAGGAUUAAAGAACAAAUACAGAACAAAUUAUUCCUCCAGCACCCCUACUGCAAGGAUUUUAAGAACUCUAUCUCAGGAUAAAGACCUGAGGGGUCACAAGAUGUACAUUGCUGGCCUCAGCUGGAUUUUCCCAGGGUCAGGUGCCCAUUCCUACCUAAUCAAAGGGACACUUCUGCUGACCUGCACCUAGAAUACCCUGUUCUGUGCUGAUGACUCAGAUGUAAGAAUGAUGAAGUGCAUCGGCUGGCAUGCAGAGAACAAUAAGAAAAAGAACUGAGUUGUGGGAAGACAUGAGGAAAGGACAUGAGGCUCUUAAUAACAGCUGCCAAGUACUGCAGUCGGGAAUCUGGAGCAAAGUGAUUCAAUUCUGACCACUGCCUGUGAGUAAAUGGGAUUUUAUUUUUCAAUACUUUUGUUUAAUAGUACCUCCUUCAUUACAUGUGAACAGCACUCCAGGACAGUAAAUCAUGAAAUGGGAAUAAAGCCUGUAAUUUUAAUUAACAUAUUUUAAAAUGUUUCUAAUUUGUAUGCAUUUGAUCAAAUUUUCAUUUGCAUUGAGCUAUUUUUUUUCUUUCUCAUGUAAUGUUUGACAUUACCAUUUCUUUCUUUAAUGAAAUACUAAUAUUUAAUAAAAUAUAUUACAUCCUUAA